GGUUAAGUUAGUAAGGGCGCACGGUGGAUGCCUUGGCACUAGGAGCCGAAGAAGGACGUGACAAACGACGAAAUGCCUUGGGGAGCUGUAAGUAAGCGUAGAUCCAGGGAUGUCCGAAUGGGGGAACCCAAUAGGUAGAUACCUAUUACCCGUAUCUGUUAAGGAUAUGAGGAGGAAGACGCAGUGAACUGAAACAUCUAAGUAGCUGCAGGAAGAGAAAGCAAAAGCGAUUGCCUGAGUAGCGGCGAGCGAAAGGGCAAGAGGGCAAACCGAGAAGUUUACUU
rnacentral:rRNA from 1 species